GUUUUCUGCAAAAUUCCAGUGUGGGUGGAAUUGAAGCUGUGUCAGGCAGAGGAAAGGGAGAGGUGAGAUUCUCUUCCCACAACUGAAGGACUUGAGCCUCCAAUGUUAACCCUACCUUGUACAUGCUGUAGCACUGCUGGAGGACUGAACUAUAAACCUUGUCCUGCAGGAAAGAGAGCAACCCAUCAGUAGGAGCAGAAGCAGAACUAGCUGCUCCCAACCAGUGCCACGGUGAGCCAGAUUAUUCCACCCUACACACGGGGCUUUGCUGAACUCCACAAGGCUUCUGCCGGCCCAGUCCCCAGCUCGCUGAGGGUCCCUCUGAACAGCACCUCAUCCUCCAGCAGAACAACAGCUUCUCCCGGGCUGGAGUCACCCAGGAGCGUGCUGAGGGCACUCAGCCUCCUCAUCCUGUCACUGCUAAGUAUGUAAGUACACUGCUCUGUUCAAAAACUAUUAAAGCUCAGCAUGAACCCCACAACACGCUGUUACCUACAGCCAGUUAGUUACUAGAGCUUCUUGACUUUCCUUACUAAGGGACAUAGCGGCGAAUAAACACUAGCAGUAACUUGACUGUAACUAAGCUAAACAGUAACCUUUCUACCGCAUUGUAUCGACGUCGAGAAAGUUAUUUUUAGACAAAGUUAAAACAUCAGUAAAACAGUUGCUGACUGUUCAGCUUCCCAUCUACAACAUGGGCCCUGCUGCUGACAACACCUCCGGUUACUGUUUCUUUUCGAUCUGAAGCAGUGACAGACUCCAUUGGGGGCAGCAGUCAUCCCCGGCCCUGCGGGUACCCAAAGCCCGGUAGGGAUGCGGCGGCCGCGGGCCGGGAGAGCCGCAGCUGCGACCGCCUUUGUCCGAGGCCGCUCCGCAGGGACAGAGCCGAGGCCGCACACGCUUGCGCCCGGCCUCGGGCACGGAGGGACCACCGCACCUUCCCCGCAUCCCCGGGCGCGACAUC